CCAAGUGCUUGAGCUAUCAUCUGCUGCCUCCCAGAGUGCAAAUUUGCAGGAUGCUGGAAUCAAUGGUGGAGCUGGGACUCGAACCAGAGACAACUGGCCUUAGGCUGGAUCUUCAGCUGAAAAUAAUAUCUGGAUUGAAACUAAACAAAUUGGAGGAAUAAGAAGUUCAUUACAUGGGGCUGGCGCUGUGGUGCAGUGGGUUAAAGCCCUGGCCUGCAGCACCAGCAUCCCAUAUGGGCGCUGGUUUGAGUCCUGGCUGCUUUACUUCUGAUCCAGUUCCCUGCUGAUGGCCUGGGCAAGCAGUGGAGGAUGGACCAAGUGCUUGGGCCCCUGCACACAUGUGGGAGACCUGGAACAAACUUCUGGCUCCUGGAUUUGGAUCGGCCUGGCUCUGGAUGUUGUGGCCAUUUGGGGACUGACCCAGUGGAUGAAAGACCUCUCCUU